rnacentral:misc_RNA from 1 species
AACAUUGAAGCUGUAGGUUUAACAUCUGCACAAUGAACACCUUCCCUGAAAUAGAAUGUAGAGCUCAAAUCGCCUAACAUAAAAAUGUUCUGAUUUUUAGAACUGCAAGCGCUCUAAAACACUAGUGAGUAGUGAGCCACCAACAUGGAUGUUGGUAGUUUGAUCAAUUCCCUGUACUCUCCACGGCUACUGUCACACCAACUUCAGCAGGUCGGAUAAUUCGGCCAUGCAAGGAAUACCCUGGCUUAAGACAAACAGCAAUCAUUCCAGGAGCCUUUUCAGGAUCAGGUACUUGAAAUACUGCAUUAUGCUUAUUUGGGUCAAAUUCUUCAUUUGUAGGAUCAAUUUUUUCAACACCAAAUUUUUUGAAUACCUCCGCCAGCUGUUUAUCAGUCAUUUCAACACCUUCCAGAAGUGUCUUCAGAAGUGGCACGGCACCAGUUGUGUCUUUAGAUACAUCAAUUUUGGAAAAGCUCUCUUUUACAACGGAAGAAGCCCUCCCCAGAUUAUCAGAAACAUCCAGAAGGGCUUUCACAAAAUUCUGAAUGGCAAACUUCUUAGUAUUUUCUGCUUCUCGUCUAGUUCUCUCCAUGACAUUCUCCAUCUCUGCAUAAGUUCGAAGAACCUUAUCCUGCAUUUUCUGAAAUUCCUCAUGUUUCAUCUUUAGGAGUUCUUCCUUCUCAAUCAGAUAUUUCACCAGGUCCUCCCUGGAAAGGUCCUCCAAAUCCAAAUCUGAAUCUGAAUCUGAUUCUUUCUUCUCAUCCUGAACGUUAGAAUCAGCAGAAGCUGAAGCUUUCUCUGCUCCGCUUCCUCCUCCACCUUGGGACUGAGAUGUUUCUUUUUCAUCAGGUUGAGGGGACGCAGAGGAUGAGAUUCCAAACCGUUGCAAGGCCGAUUCAGGUACUAGAGACACCUUUUCUCUUAUAUUGCGAAUUGAAUGAAACUGAGAUGAAAGUAUGGGAACAUGGUGCUGUUGAUUCUGUCGAUAAUAGAGUAGUAGCGAGUUGCGGCACUGUGUCAACACAUUCCUUGAGAAUCGAGAUGAGAUUCUACUCAACACCAUAGCUGAAUUUAGGGUUUUUGCUAUGAAAAUUGCAGUGAGAUUGUAAAAUUUAGGGAUGGCGGUGGAACAAUGAAA